rnacentral:rRNA from 1 species
AGUGAACGCUGGCGGCAGGCCUAACACAUGCAAGUCGAACGGCAGCACAGCAGUAGCAAUACUGUGGGUGGCGAGUGGCGGACGGGUGAGGAAUACAUGGGAAUCUACCCUGUCGUGGGGGAUAACGUAGGGAAACUUACGCUAAUACCGCAUACGACCGAGAGGUGAAAGCGGCGGACCGCAAGGCGUCGCGCGACUGGAUGAGCCCAUGUCGGAUUAGCUAGUGGCGGGGUAAAGGCCCACCAAGGCGACGAUCCGUAGCUGGUCUGAGAGGAUGAUCAGCCACACUGGAACUGAGACACGGUCCAGACUCCUACGGGAGGCAGCAGUGGGGAAUAUUGGACAAUGGGCGCAAGCCUGAUCCAGCCAUGCCGCGUGUGUGAAG